rnacentral:tRNA from 1 species
GCCCUCAUGCCGGGAUAGCUCAGUUGGUUAGAGCAAGGCACUGAGAAUGCCAAGGUUGCAGGUUCGAUCCCCGUAUGGGACA